AUUGAACGCUGGCGGCAUGCCUUACACAUGCAAGUCGAACGGCAGCACGGGAGCAAUCCUGGUGGCGAGUGGCGAACGGGUGAGUAAUAUAUCGGAACGUGCCCAGUCGUGGGGAUAACGUAGCGAAAGCUACGCUAAUACCGCAUACGAUCUAUGGAUGAAAGCGGGGGAUCGCAAGACCUCGCGCGAUUGGAGCGGCCGAUAUCAGAUUAGGUAGUUGGUGAGGUAAAGGCGUCACCAAGCCGACGAUCUGUAGCUGGUCUGAGAGGACGACCAGCCACACUGGGACUGAGACACGGCCCAGACUCCUACGGGAGGCAGCAGUGGGGAAUUUUGGACAAUGGGCGCAAGCCUGAUCCAGCAAUGCCGCGUGCAGGAUGAAGGCCUCGGUU
rnacentral:rRNA from 1 species